GACAGAGGGUGCAAACGUUGUUCGGAAUUACUGGGCGUAAAGCGAGUGUAGGCGGUUUGGUAAGUCAGGUGUGAAAGCCCUGGGCUCAACCCAGGAAGUGCACUUGAAACUGCCAAGCUAGAGUAUCGGAGAGGUUGGUGGAAUUCUCGGUGUAGAGGUGAAAUUCGUAGAUACCGAGAGGAACACCGGUGGCGAAGGCGGCCAACUGGACGAAUACUGACGCUGAGACUCGAAAGCGUGGGGAGCAAACAGG
rnacentral:rRNA from 1 species